CAAACAAUAGAGAUAACAAUUUUGUCAGCGGAGAAUCUCCAAGAAAACAAAAAAGCCAUAAAAGGAAACACAUUUGUCACGGUUCAAUGUGACGGAAGCAAUAAUGAAGUGAGCACCACGAAACUUGAUUCUGAAGGCGGAAGUUAUCCUACAUGGAACGAGAAGGUAGUGAUCGACAUGCCAUUACAUGCAAGGUUCGUUACAAUAGAGGUGAAGUACAAAACUAGAGGAAGUAGUAGUAAUAGUGUUGGAAUAGCUAGAGUACCUGUUUCCGAUUUUGUUGGAGGGUAUGUACAUGAAAAUCAACUGCAAUUUUUAAGUUAUAGGUUGUGGGAUAAUAGAGUUAUGAGAAAUGGGGUUGUAAAUAUUUCAGUGAAGGUAAAAAUGUCCCAACAAAAUUCUUGCUCGAGUUCGAUGUCAUCGACGAUGAAUGGAGUUCCAGUAACUGGCGUUCCGGUGGCCGGUAAUGGCUCCUGCAGCAGAGUUGCAACAGGGAUUCCUGCUGUUUGGUUAAAAUACCAAAGACACAUUUGAAAGGCUACAUUGUAAUCAUCAUGUACAUUAAAAACAGAAAGCAUACAUUUCCAUACUGACAAUACACGUGGGAAUUAAAUUUGUCUCAAUUUGUAUAUUUAUUUCAUGUUCUUCUUUUUUUUGUUUGCAUUUAUUUCAUGUUCUUUUAACAUUAUAUCAAGGGUCUUGUUAACGAGUGUCCUUUGAGCACUCUGCAUUCUAAAUCAAGAAAUUAUUCUUUAAAAAGUGAAAUAGUUCAAUUUCCAAGGCCUUGAAUACAUAAUUUUUCAUAAAAAGUUUACAAAUCAUUUUUGUUAAUAGUUUUUUUCUUUUAUCAGUUUUACAACUCAACACUAAAUAUUGAGGUAAGAGAUAAAAUAUAUACAAAAGGAUGAGUUGUUCGGAACAACUCAAGUUUUUUUUUCUUAAACAAGACAAAAUGAGAUAUAUUAACAAAAAAUUCUGCUCCCUAUAACAAGGAAUGCAAAGAGAAGCAGAACAAAAUUACAACAAUCAAUCCUUCUGAAUCAAAAUAGUGGUAAACAACGGUCAACCAAUCCUCAAACAAACAAGGAGUUGCUGCCACCACAUAUGGUAACCAAAAGGAAAGCAAACAUUUUUCGCUUUCAACCACGUAAGUGAAGUGAUUUUUACCUUUUCCAUAAGCUGCACAACCAAUUUUACAUUAUUAGAGAACAACUGUUUGUUUCGUUCAUUCCAAAGAAUCUAAAUACAACAAAGUCAAAUCAUAUUUAAGAAUGAACGACAAGGAGUGUAUCCUCCUGAAGAGUAUAUGAAUGGAUGAAAAUGAUCCAUAACAUGUUGGAGAUCCACAUAAUACACACCAAACCAGCUCUUCAAGUGUUGCCAAAGAGAACCAAAAGUAGAAUAAUGUAUUAAUAGAUGUUAUGCUGUUUCAUUUUGGCCACACCCUGAAACACACAAUAAAGAGUCUGGGGAAUGACUUCACGACGCCCUAAGUUAUCCUUCGUAGGCCACCUGUUGUGGAAUAGACGCCACACACAGAUAGAAAUCUUUAAAGGAACACUUUUAUGCCACACCGCUUCUGAAAUGUCGUCAUGGUCGUGCAUCUCUUGCCGCAUGAGCAUUUGAUACACCCCACGAACUGUGUAGCUAUCUGUUAACACAAAAAAUAAAAUAUUUGGUCGAACUCAUAAUUCUAUUUUCGACAAGGCAGAUGUGUUAUUUCGACAUGCUGCAAAGUGCAAAGAGAUUUCGACCAAGAACAUACAGACUUCGACAUGCUGCAUUUUCAACAAAGUAAUUUAAUAUAUUUCAUGCAUGUGGCUAAUGAAGCCUUGGAGAACCAUUAGUUUAUCAAGUGAUUCAUUUUUGUGGGAAGAGCCUUGGAGAAAUGAAGAAAUUAUUAGCACAAUACGUGAUGUAACAUGAUUAUGCAAGAUCCAAUGUCUAAAGAUUUAGUAUACCUCAACGUGGACAUGGUACUUGUAACAAUAAUAAGGCAAAGUCGAAUAUGCGGUGACAAACAAGACUGAAGUGCAUUGAAGAUUAUUUCCUAGUGUCUUAGGAAGUUAUUUCUACUUUCAAUAUAGACUGUAGGAUUUAGUGUUAGUUUUCUCUACAAGGUCUAUAUAUAUCAGUUUGUAAUAAUAACAAUGGGUUGGUUUCUUGAUUUUUGAAAACUCUGUAACACCCACGCCAUGGGAGCAAACGGGUUCAGGAGUGGAGAGAUUGACAGAUUCCGACCACCCUUUACAUUCCUAUAAUUUAAUACCAAUGUUCUUGUUUUACUUUCCUUUUUCUUUUGCAUUUCUUUUCAUCUUUACUCUAUUUCUUUUUAUUUUUAACAUGCUCACUUGAGCAAUUUUCUAUCAUGUUGUCAUGAGACAACUUGUUAUUACAAGAUGUUGGAAGCAAUUCUGACAUUAAUGUUCUUAAAGAAUGCAUGAAGUGAUGUCUUAAACCGCGAAGCUUGAACGAUCCCCUUUAAAAAUACAUUUGUUAUCAUCGACGGCAAAUGAAGUUUACGUUACCAAAAAUCGGUGUAAACACUAUCUCCUGCAUUCGGGAUCUGCCAACGGUAUUUGAUUGAAAGAGUGCGGUACCGGUACGAAAGGGAGCUAGCUAAGGCAGCAAGCCAAGAAAGGCAGAAUAUUAGGCCUUUUUUUUAGAAAGGAAGCCAACUCUUGAUUCUGAACUUCGUUCGCGAAGGAACCGGAUGUUUGACGGGCCAGCCCUUUUUUAUGCGCCGCUUUACCCUGAAAGGAUAAUUAGCUUUGCGUCAAACAUCUGAAAAAAUAAAUUAUCAACUGGAUUAAGCUCACGGGAUUAAUGAUGAAUGAUCUUUAUUAAACAAAUAAAUUACAUGACUCUCAAUAAUUUUACCUUUUCCGACAGUUGGUAUGUAUUGUUUUAAUCUUCUUUUAAUUGACUAUUAAUCCAGUCUCCAUUAUCUUUUAUUAGUUUAUGUUACAUUUUUAUAAAAUGUUUUUAAAGUUUAUAAAAUGAUUUGUAAACAGCAAGGAAGAUAUCAUACUUCUAACCACCAUCCCAUCCCUUCUUUAAAUAAUCAUUCCACAUUGAUUAAAGUGAGUUUUAUCUAUCAAAAUUAGCACAAGUUUGAACGUGGACAUACAUGUUUAUGUCUCACAUAUAAAAUACAACUUAUUUCUACAUUUUUUCAUGUCAAAAUUCUUAGCCAUUUGCAACACCUAUUGUUGUUAUUUGAACCAACACGAGUUGCUACUUAUUUAAUUAUUACAUGAAUGAGAGGCAACAAUGCAUCUUUUGGCCACGUAUUGACGUGAGAUUGAUCUUCUGACUGGUCUAGAAUAGAUGGUAUUUAAUUUCAUUAUAUCUGCCGCAUUUUUUUAGUCCAUGGUCUGUCUCCUUACCCACUAGCCCCAAUUUAUUUAAUGUACUACGAAUGCAACAAGGGAAGGAAACAUCCUUCAAGCAUGCACCAUUAUUCUUCUCCAAUCAAAUCUUGAUUCUUAAUUUCUUAUCAUCCUAGAUCUUCCAAACUCAUUUUUGGCUUCAUUCAUACACUCUGAUAUGGACAAAGAUAGUGGGGCACAUCAUUGAUAUUGAUCCAUAUACAUUAAUAUUAAUUUAAAAUUAUAAAAAUGAUUGAAUGUCUAUAGUUUCCAAAAUUACAACAUUUCCAGUAUUUUUCUCUUGACGAAUCCCUAAUUGUCUCUUAAGGGGUCAACCACUGUGUUUCCAAGGAAAAAGAGGUGACGACUUAAGUUUAGAACGGUCAUUAUUCAUGAAUUGGAAAUUAGGAAGCACUUAUUGUCAUUGUAAAAUGAACGAGUCAAACAAAAUAAAACAAAAGAUCGAACUUUUCUCCCCUUGAACUUACAAAACAACGCAAGGCAACUUCUUCAUAAAAUCUUUCAAAGUUGAUCAAAGUAUAGUCUUUAUAAUUAAAAAACAUAUUACUGAAAUUGUAAAUCAAAAGGAGAAUUUCAUAUUCGAUGAGUCUAUGCUAGAUUUGUUGGGUUAAGAUCCUCUCCAUUUAAUAGUUCCAUGUUGGAUAGUGAGUUAUUCUUCAUCUUACAUACUAUGUUGUAUAGUUUAGUUAGACCCGAUCUAAAAAAUUUAAAAUGGUAUGAGAGCCUAUCCAAGAUCUGUUAUCAGAUCACUGCCAUCAGACCACUCGAUUUACGCUACAAAUGUCUUGUCCUGGAAGCCAUCAGUUAUCAUAUUAUAGAUGCGAAGUUUUCAUAACCGUUGGUUAACGAUGAAUAAUCCCUAUUGGAAAACCUAUUGCACACGAAGUAUAUUCUCUCCUCUUAUUAUUUUGACCAAUCUAUUGUUUAUGUGAAGUGAUGGUUUUACUUGCAUGUUUGAGUUUUGUUUUUAAAAAGGCAAAAUGAAGCAUAUUUUUGAAACGGACAAAGAAAUACCGAAAUUGUUGUUCACACAUGUGUUUAAGCUGAAACACACUAAUAAAAGACCGAAAUACCCCUUCGACAGUUAACUGCCGCGGAACUCCAAAUCUAAAAUUAUAGAGGAUGCAGAUCUGAAACAAUAAAUGAAAUUCGUCUCAGUAUUCUCUCCUGCAAGAAAAGACAAUAAGAUCCAACAAAAACAUGAUCAUGGAGUGUGGGCAUGUAACCACUAACUUGGAAAAAGAAAGUUCAAACCAGAAAGACAUGACUAUCUAGCUUUUAAUAGUAAUAUAUAAAACCUUCUGAUGAUGAUCAUAUUGCAGAAUAAUCUCACUCUAUAUUUUCAUAGUAAUGCUGAAAUAAUCUCAGUCUACAUUAUUAAUUUAUAAGUGCAUAUACAAAUUCAAACUUUUGAUGUGGUGCUGAGUCUGUACUCUUACUACAGAACAAAACAUUGACAUUCAGGGGAAGAAGAUAGCAGAAAAACACCAGUAUUGCUCCGCAGCAGUUAGCUGCUGAAGUUUCUGUGGUAGUUAACUGCCAAAGGGGUAUUUCAGUAUUUUAUUGGUGUGUAUAAGCUUAAACACAUGUGUGAACAUCAAUUUUCAAGAUGUGCAAGGACCAUAUUUGAGUAUUGAGUUUUUUCUUUGGAAAAAAAGAUUUUUUUGAACCAAAUUUUUCUCUAUUCGUAUUCUAAUUUUGUAGUGUUAAAUGAGCUCUCGUAAAACGAAUUCGGGUUCGAUUUCUAGAAGCCGCAAUUAUUAACAUAAUUUUACUUAUCUUUCGAACGAACUCUGAAUUAUUAAAAGGAGAAAACUUAGGUAUAAUUCUUUGGGUGCUUUUCGUAUGGUUCUUAACUAAAAAUACAUAUUUUUUGGAUAUAACAAAACUUUGAGAAAAUUAUGAAUUUGAGGAAAUCAUCGUGAAUUUAGUUAAUAACCAUACGAAAAGCAUCUAAGAAAUUGUACCUAAGUUUUCUCCUUAUUAAAACUCCCUUACCUUGAAAACUGAAGAAUCGGAGAGCUAACACAAAAAAUGCUAAUUAUUAAGUUAGUUACAUAAUAAAGAAUAAUUCCCAACCUUAAGCUUUACAAUAAGUCAAAAAUCCCUUUAAAAAAAAGGAAAUGUUAACGAAUGUCUCGGAGCACUCUUUAAUAACUAUUAAUAGUAAAAAAUUUAUGAAAAAUUGUAAAAUCAAUGUAUUGGAAUUUGUAAAAUUUAAUUUCUUUAAAAAAUAUUUUUUAAAUUUGAGAUUCUAAAAGAGUGCUAUGAGACACUCGUUAAUUAAAACCCUAAAAAAAAAAGUUGAAUAUUCAUGCAAACAUAACCGAAAUUUCCAAGUACAUUCCGCCGUCACAUAUAUUUAACGUUCCAUAUCAACUUGAAUUGUCAAACACUUUCUUUUCACCGUCCAAACCACGCGCCGAUUUUUCCAACUUCUCAAUUCCACGUUAAAAAUGAACCAACCACUCUCUUUCUGUCUUGUUUCUCUCAUGUUUCUCUAAACUCACAUAUAUAUAUAGAUAGCACAAUCCUCCCCUUCUCUUCAAUCAACCUUCAACUCCCCAAUUUCUCUACACUCUCAAAUCAUACUAUUUCAUAAGGGAAUUGGUCUCUAUAGUUACACGAGAUAUCUUAAAACACUAAUAUAAAAUGUCGCAAACAAUAGAGAUAACAAUUUUGUCAGCGGAGAAUCUUCAAGAGAACAAAAAAGCCAUAAAAGGAAACACAUUUGUCAUGGUUCAAUGUGACGGAAGCAAUAAUGAAGUGAGCACCACGAAACUUGAUUCUGAAGGCGGAAGUUAUCCUACAUGGAACGAGAAGGUAGUGAUCGACGUGCCAUUACAUGCAAGGUUCGUAACAAUAGAGGUGAAGUACAAAACAAGAGGAAGUAGUAAUAGUGUUGGAAUAGCUAGAGUACCUGUUUCCGAUUUUGUUGGAGGGUAUGUACAUGAAAAUCAAUUGCAAUUUUUAAGUUAUAGGUUGUGGGAUAAUAGAGUUAUGAGAAAUGGGGUUGUAAAUAUUUCAGUGAAGGUAAAAAUGUCCCAACAAAAUUCUUGCUCGAGUUCGAUGUCAUCGACGAUGAAUGGAGUUCCAGUAACUGGCGUUCCGGUGGCCGGUAAUGGCUCCUGCAGCAGAGUUGCAACAGGGAUUCCUGCUGUUUGGUUAAACUACCAAAGACACAUUUGAAAGGGUACUUUGUAAUCAUCAUGUAUAUUAAAAACAGAAAGCAUACAUUUCCAUAUUGACAAUACACGUGGGAAUUAUUUAUGUCUCAAUUUGUAUAUUUAUUUCAAUGUUCUUUAAUAUUACAUCAAUCAGUAUUGCAAUUUAAACAUGAUCAAACUCAACACUAAAUAUUAAGGUAAGAGAUAAAAUAUGUAUCAAAGGAUGAAUCGUUCAAGACAACCCAAAUUUAGAAUUUAAUAAGUAAAUAUUUGUAAUAACAAUUACUCCAUAUAUUAACAUUUGUUAUUAAAAAAAGAGAUUGAUAUUGAUACGUAAAUAUGUCAGUGCACAUCAGAUACAUAUGUUCUAUACGAGUGUUGACUUGACUUAAAUCCUAUAUGUUGACCAAUUUUAGAAAUUGCUCCUAUAGAAAUUUAGUAUUUUUUUUUUCUCUUGACGCAUCCCUGAUUGUCUCUUAAGAAUGGGUCAACCAUUAAGUUUCCCAGGAACAAGGGGAGCUGACUUAGUUUAGAAAUUAGAAAGUACCAACUCUCAUUGUAAAAUGAAAGAAUCAAACAAAUAAAACAACAGAUUGGAACUUUAAGCAACAACACAAGGGAACUUCUUGAUUUUUAUAACAAAAAUCAUCCAAAGUUGAUCAAAGUAUAACAAAUUGUAUUUAAAACGACAACCGGUAGUAAUUAAUUGUAACUUUAAGUUUGAAUUUAGAAUUUCUUAAAUAUUUAUGCAUAAAUUUCAUCAAUUUUUGUUGUAUUUUAAAAAUGACCAAUGUUAAUAUAUAGUUAGUCGUCAUAAUCCACUUGAAGUGUGCUUUUCAUCAAGGUCGUGAUUAUCUUUGGUACUAAUUUGGGUGAGUUAGUUUAACUUCUUUAAAAAAAAAAAAUAGUUAGUCAUCAUUAAAAAGUUAGUCAUCGCUUUAAAAAAAAUAGUUAGUCGUCAUUUUUAUUAUAUUUUUUAUCGCCAAACCAGGAGAAAUGACAUGCAUCAAAAGAAAACAUCGAUAUCCCAAUUAGGUUGGCACCCCGAUAAACCCCAUCCUCUACCGCAAAAUUCAAAAUAUUAUUAAAAAAGGGGGAAAAAAUUUACAAGAGGGGAGACUAUACCAAAACCCUUAAAAAAAACAAAAACAGAAAAAAAACAACCGUCUAGAGAAACCUAUAACGAGGCAUACCACAACAGUCUGAAUAAAAAUUCGCUUGCAAGUCAGGAGGUAGAACCGACAACUACACUGCCCCAUGAGUCGAGUGACCCAUAUUAGCCAACUUAUCAGCACAACAAUUACCUCUCUCAUUAGUACAAAUUCGUGACUCCAAUACCAUGUCAAUACCAAGAAGGGACAUAUACAAAAUUGACCAUAGGUUCAGCAAAAAAAAUGAGAACAAGCUUAUGAGAAAAAAGAAAAAGAAAAAUUAAGGCAAAUUUUGUGCCCGAGUUACCGAAGCCGCGAACAUUUCAAUACAAAACAAUCAUUGAUCAGUUAGAGAGGUAUCACCCCUAGAACGGGUUUUGUAUGGCUUACCAAUAGUAGUUUUCUUCAGAUGAUCAUGCUUCUGUUUCUUACUUAGAACUGGAAUAAAUGGCAAUUCAACUGACUUUUGAUCAUAUUCACGAAUACGGCGCCAUAACUUCAUGUCUAGCUGAAUUCUCGGAUUACUCUGAAUGGCUUCAUGUGUUGUCUGCGCCAAACUAUCUGGGGCCGCAUCUUGCACCAAAGACUCAAUCUGAGACUUCUCCUCAGUAACUGUUGCGAAAACCGAAGCCCUGAGAGGGCCAGUUGGGGAACCAAAAUGCACGUCAUGGUGCUCUACAACACGAUGAUCUGUAUGAACCGGUGGCACCUCCAUACCUACCGGAAGAAACCAAUUCAACAAACCUCUCUAGCACAUCAUCGUGCGCUACAGGGGAUGAACGUGUCGCAGUCGCAUCCAAAACCUUGGGACUCUUCACCAGCUUCCGUGGUUGCAAAUGCUCCUCUUCACUUUUCAUACAUACUUUUAUUUUGACAAGUAAUUAUAUUUUUUAAUAUAGUUACACAUAAUAAAAAACACAGUAUUUUUCUUUAUUCUUAACCUAAUAAUGAAAUACCAAUAAAUGUUUAGACGAGUUACACUGGUUUCUUCUAACUUAACCAAGGUCCUGAGUUUGAAAACCAAGGUCAUAAGUUCGAAUACAAUAUUGAACAUGAGUUAACACUAAAAUUCUUUAGGAGAGUUUGCCGCCUAUUUAAAUCUCAUAAAACUUGACUAAUUAAUUUUCGUAGUUACACGCCUACCCGAUUUCAAAACAAAAAAAAAAAAGAAACUAAUAAUAAAAAGUUCCUACUAAUUUCCACCGUCAAAUAUAACGGCCACAUUUUUUUAACGCUCUCAUUCAACUUGAAUUGUCACCUUUAUUUAUUUUUUUUAAGAAAGAAGAAUGUUACCCUUUAUUUUAUUUUUCGUUCAAACCACGCGCCGUAUUUCUAACAGCUCAAAUCUAAACCUUUUUUUUUUCUUUUGUUUUUGUCUGCUAAAUUUCGGUUCAAAAAAACAAAAAAGCCCCCAACUAUUGAAAAGAAACAACCACCCUCUUUCUAUCUCCUUUCUUUCAUGUUUCUCAAAACUCCACAUAUAUAUAAACACCAUCCUCCCCUUCUCUUCAAUUCAACCUUUCAAUUCCUCAAAUAUUUCUAUAUCCAUUAUUUCAUCCUAUUUCUAAUCCUUCACACUUUUCUUUUCCACAAUAAAAUUUAGGUGACCCUCAUCAUCAAUUUUUUGUUCACAUAUUGAAAAAUAAAAUUAUUUUGAGAGAUUAGUCUCUAAUUGUUGGCCGAAUACGUGAAGUCACCCUAAAGAUUUACUUAUUACUUGUGAAACAAUAAACUAUAGCAUUUCAUUUUUCACAUACUUUGAGUUUAAAGGAAUUAUUCUCUAGCUUCCGAUUGAGAUAUCUUGAAACACUUACAUAAAAUGUCACGAACAAUAGAGAUAACAAUUUUGUCAGCGGAGAAUCUUCAAGAGAACAAAAAAGCCAUAAAAGGAAACACAUUUGUCACGGUUCAAUGUGACGGAAGCAAUAAUGAAGUGAGCACCACGAAACUUGAUUCUGAAGGCGGAAGUUAUCCUACAUGGAACGAGAAGGUAGUGAUCGACGUGCCAUUACAUGCAAGGUUCGUUACAAUAGAGGUGAAGUACAAAACUAGAGGAAGUAGUAGUAAUAGUGUUGGAAUGGCUAGAAUACCGGUUUCCGAUUUUGUUGGAGGGUAUGUACAUGAAAAUCAAUUGCAAUUUUUAAGUUAUAGGUUGUGGGAUAAUAGAGUUAUGAGAAAUGGGGUUGUAAAUAUUUCUGUGAAGGUAAAAAUGUCCCAACAAAAUUCUUGCUCGAGUUCGAUGUCAUCGACGAUGAAUGGAGUUCCAGUAACUGGCGUUCCGGUGGCCGGUAAUGGCUCCUGCAGCAGAGUUGCAACAGGGAUUCCUGCUGUUUGGUUAAACUACCAAAGACACAUUUGAAAGGGUACUUUGUAAUCAUCAUGUAUAUUAAAAACAGAAAGCAUACAUUUCCAUAUUGACAAUACACGUGGGAAUUAUUUAUGUCUCAAUUUGUAUAUUUAUUUCAAUGUUCUUUUAAUAUUACGUCAAUCAGUAUUGCAAUUUAAACAUGAUCAAAAUCAACACUAAAUAUUAAGGUAAGAGAUAAAAUAUGUAUCAAAGGAUGAAUCGUUGAAGACAAUCCGAAUUUUAGACCUCUUAAUAUGUAAAAAUUAAUUUGAAUCUUAACUACUCAUAUAUUCAUAUAGAUCAUUUCUAAGAUUUUACGUAAAUAUGAAAUUAUUUGAUAUGAUAUUUUAUGAGAUGCAUAAAUAAUUUUCUAUUUAUAUAAAAUUUUAUAGAGAUGUCUAUAUGAUAUAAAACUUGAUCAGACAAUUGUUAGGGUCAGCGAGUGAAUUGAUGUUUUCCUCAAAACAGUAGACAAUGACACAAAAAUUUGAAUUUUGAUGUAUAAUUCCGCGCCUUACCCAAUUAUCUUUAGAUGGUAACUGAUUCUAUAACAAACGUAAAAAAAAUAUUGAUACUUUUAUCCGGACAUUGUUGUUCCAAAUAAUAUUAUGAAAUUCAUUUUUAUGCAUCGGUUCAACUGCCGUAAACAAAUGAUAAAUCUCAUUGACAGUGUAACCUUUGUCAGGUGUUAGUUGUCAAAUCCACCUAUUUUCUAAACAACAUGUAUAGAUAGGUUAGAUAAAAGCUCAUGAAAUUCUGGCAUGCUAGCUUCCUGAUGUUGUAUGUAAUGUUCCAAUAUUGAGACACAGUUGGAAUGUUGAGUAUAAUGUUUCAACGUCAGACUAAAGAUAAACAAACAGAACAAGGAAAAUAUAAAUGACAGAAACGUAAAUGGCACAGGUUAUUUGUUAACCCAGUUCGGUGACAAACACACCUACUCCGGAGGCUACCAAACCAGGAAGGAAAUCCGCUAGUGUAGUCCGACCUAGUUCUAAGUUCUCAGCAAACUCCAAGUUUACAACUUAUCACCUAGCUACUACUCGUACUGACUUCAGCCUAGGAACUCCUAGACCUGAGAUCUCAUCUCACUUCCACUCAAUCACACACCCUGUGAUUUCACGUUUACAAUCAAUAUAAUGAAGAUACCUUCAGACACAAACUAACUCCGUACUUCAAAGCUUAGGAGUAGUGUACAAUCUUACAACUCAAUAAACACAGUCCUAAACUUGCAUCAAGGUGACACAAUAAAGGUUCACAAUUAACAGAGACUCAAAACCCUAAAAACUCUAUUUUUAAUAUGACGACUUCAAUUAUGAAUUAUGUUUUAAAUUUGUGUCUUUCCUUAUAUAAUCUGAAGCAGUACGGGCUUGAUAUUCUUAUUGGACUUCACAAAAAAUGUCGAUCCAUGAAUAGAUCCGCUCACAAGAAACAGAACCAAAUCACCAGUUUCCUAAAAUGUUGGAACAUCUUUAGGAGAUAAACACAAGUCUGAUUCUGGUAAAAAAAAAAAAACGCGUCUUCAGCAAGUAAAAAGGCGUAGAUUCCUCAAAUAAUUAAAGUCUGUUAAUUAUGGCACGAAAUCAGAGCACAUUGAAGUCGUACCCACAUGUUGAAACAUUAGGUCCAACAUCUUACUUGUAUAUUUGAUUUAGCAAAAAUGAUGCCAACAUACAAAUAUCCAACAACCCACAACUUUUGAUAUGUGUUCUUUAAACUUCUUUUGAUUGAUUAUUAAUCUAGCCUCCCUUAUUAUUUUUUAUUUUUUUUUGACAAAUAGCCUCCCUUAUUCGACAACUUUAUCUUUCAUAUACACAUUGUUCUUCUACAUUAUCUCUCUAUUGCUUUGAUUUUUAUGUCACUAUCUAAAUUUCUUUGUAUAAUGUGGUUGUCCAACAAAUUAUCACAUAAAAAAGUUGUUCAAAUAACAUUGCUCUUGACAAAAUUAUAAUGACACCAUGGUUUUGUCGAAGCUUUAAAAAUCACCGUGACACACAUCAUGCUUAUGCAAAACUCAUCGCCAAUACAUCUACAUUUUUUAUGUCAAAUUUCGGUCCCAUUUGCAACACCUAUUGUUAUUAUUUGAAUCAACACGAGUUAGUAUUUAUUUAAUUAUUAUAAUAUAGUAUUCCAUCAUUAGUUGUAUCCAAUUGUAUGAUUGUUUUACAAUAAUCCAUGACCUGCCUCCUUACCUACUAGACCCAAUUUAUUUAUUGUACUAUGAAUGCAACAAUGGAAGGAAACAUCCUUGAAGUAUGCACACCAUUAUUUUUUUAAACCAAAUAUUAUUUUCUACCUAAAGCCUCCAAACUCAUUUAAUAAUUAACAUAUUAAUAUUUGUCAUUAAAAAAAAUAUAAAUAUUGAUAUGUUAAUAUCAUAAGAACAAUUUUUUUGGUUACAAUCUAUAAGAACAAUUAAUCUACUAACAUUUAUCAUUAAAAAAAACCAUAGAUAUUGAUACGCACACAUCCAUAAUAUUUUAAAAGAAUAAAAGUGAUUGAAUGUAACAUUAUGGAUAUUGAUACGCAUUUAUCAGUAACAUUGUGUUGUAAUCUCUUAUUAAUAUAUUUCUUGAAAAGACCACAUAUGUUGGAGGAAUAUCAGAUACAUGUUCUAUAUAAAAUGUCUGUGGACAUAAAAUAUUUAUGAGUGUUGACUUGACUUAUAUGCUAUUUGUUGUCCAAUUUUAGAAAUGGUUCCCAUAAAAUAUUUGUAGUAUUUUUCUCUUGACGAAUACUUGAUUGUCUGUUAAGAAGGGGUCAACCAUUGUGUUUCCAAGGAACAAGGGGACUUCUUGAUUUUUAUUACAAAAAUCAUCCAAAAUUGAUCAAAGUUUAUAAUAUAUUAGUGCGAAUGCAAAUCAAAAGGGAAAUUCUUAUUCAACAGUAUUGGAUUUAAUAAUAAUUAAAACAUACCACACGUAAAUUACAUUACAUGUUGGUUAAAUUCAAUAAAAUUUGACAAUGAAUUUACACAUAUGGGUUAGACCCCAACUUGUAAUAUUUUUUUUUUUUUUAAAUAAAAAAAAAUUGGAACGGAAAAUUCUCACACACAUAAACAAAGGGAAUGUUAAAAAGUGGAGAAAUGUUUCGCACACAGUAACAUUUUACUGUCAGAUUUGUAUUUAAAAAGACAACCAAUAGUAAUUAAUUGUAAUUUAAGUUUGAAUUUAGAGUUUCUUAAAUAUUUACACAUAAAUCUCUCUUCUUCUUUUUUUUUAAUUUUAGAAAUGACCAAUGUUAAUAGUUAGUCAAUCCACUUGGAGUGUACUUCUACUCAAUAUUUCAGUUCAGUUCUCUUCAAUGUCAAUUUAAUUGAGUUAGAUGAGCUUCUUUAAACAAAAAUAGUUAAUCAUCAAUAAAAAGUUGCUAAUAUUUAAUAAAUUUUGAUCAAGUCUUGGCCGUUUGAAUAGUAAAUUUUCGUUAUCUUAUCUCUCUUACGAAAUUGUUUCUUUUGUGAAAAAUGUACUCCUCCAUUUUUAUUAUAUGUCACAUUAAAAAAUGUGUUAAAUUAUAAAUCGUUUUACAACACGAAUACAACAUUAAUGUUUUUUUUUAUCAUCCUUUUGUAUUUAUUGUUAUAUUUUCUUUCAAUUCUUUUAAUUUUUCCUUUUUACGACAUUAAUAAAGGAUAACUUCUUAAGUCUGUCAUGACCUAUUCCCUGUCUAUACUCUUUCCUUCUUCGAAGCUCCAUCAAGCAUCAUUUCCUCUAUUGAACCUCUUUUGAUUUUUUGAUUUUUAUUUUUUUGGAGGUGGGGUGAGGAUACUAGGAAAAUUUCUUGGAUCGAUUGCAAUUUGAUUUGUUUGGAUAAAGAGUUUGGGGGUUAGGAGAAUUAGGGAAUUUAAUGUCGCCUUGCUAUGUAAGUGGUGUUGGUGAAUGGUGUAGGAGAGGGAGAGUUUGUGGUUUAAGGUGUCGGCAGUAAGAUAUGGUGUAGAAGGGGGGCGGUUGAAGGAGGGGGGAUAGAAAAUGAUCUAGUUGGUGGAAGGAGGUGGCCUGCAUCCUAGAUAAAGGGGGCAUGCAGGUGGGUGGGUCAUUUGAGGAUAACUUAAGUCGAAAGGUCGGUAAUGACAUUGAUUCUUUUUUUUCUGGACUGUUAGGUGGUUAGAGGAUGAAACUUUUUCUUGUAGGUUUGAACGUCUUUUUGAGUUGUCUGAGACUAAGGGGUUGUCGGUGGCAGAGAUGUUUCGGUUAGGGUGGGAAAGAAUGGUAAGGCGUGGAAGUAGAGGUAGAGGUUGAUGGCGUGGAAGUGGAGGUAGAGGUUGAUGGCGUGGGAGGAGGAGAUGUUAGUGGAGUGUAGGGUUGUUCUUCAUGAUGUGUUUAUGGAGGUGGAUAUUCCACCUAACAAUUUUGGUGGUUAAAGGCAAAAUCUAAUAUUAUUGUUUUUGAUUAUCAUAGGCGGUGGCUUAACUCCUUGUUGUGUGUGGGCAUAGGCUGACUUUGUUUCUUUCCUUGGUUUUGUUCUUGCGGUUUUUGAAACACAUUUAUGUAACUUUAUGAGCUUCUUCCUCGGUACACCUUGUGCUGGAGAGACUAUGGUUUAGCAGUAAUAUUUUUUUUGACAAAAAAUUAGAGAUAUUCAUUCGUUCAAACUGAUAGAGUACAUCGAUAUAAUGCAAAUUCACUAAAAAUAAAAAGGAUGAAUCUGCGAACAAACUCACAACAUCCAUGUUAAUAACAUAAAACGACAAAGUACAAAAGCCUACACAUAUAACUAUAUUCAAGUCUCUGGAAUACCCAUAUCUCCGGAACUGCAACAUUGACGACAUCAAAGUCAUUGAUUGGAUCUGCAUUGGAUCAAAGCUGAUAUGACAAUCUGAAUCGAACAAAUACCUGAACGAAACAAAAACGACAAACAACGCCGCACAAAGUUGACGAACAAAACAACGUCGCACUAAGAUGACGAAAUCACGAAAGAAAAAACGAAAUAAAUUUGAAAAUCACUUAUAUCAACAAAAGGGAAAAGAUGAAAACGAGUUAAAGGAGUGAUUUUGGAUAAAAAAAUUGACCCAAAAUCACCCUUCAUUAAUAGAUGAAGGAGAAGAAACUAAGAUUUUGAUGACGGCUCACAAGAGAGAAGGGAAGAGAGAGCUUGUGUCCUUUUUCCCUAAAAUAAUUACUUUUUGCAGUAAUAUAUUUUAUUUUUUAUUCUUAUAAAAAAACGGAAGAUAAUUUUAUAAAUCACUUAUAAUUUCACUUUUCAUACAUACUUUUAUUUAAACAAAUAAUUAUAUUAUUUUUUUGUCAAGUAGUUUGUCUAAUGACUAAAGCUCACACAAUUAAAUUGUGGAGAAGUGAAGUAUCCGGGGAUCGAACCGUAACUCUGCAUGUAAUAUGCUAGAUUCCUACCAAUUGAGCUAAGCUAAUUAUAUUUUUUAAUAUGCGUAGAAAUAGAAAGUUACGUAUAAUAAAAAACUGAGAGAGUAUUUUUGUUUAUUCUUAAACUAAUAAUGAAAUAAAGAAUAAAUUCAAAUCUUUAGCUGUACUAAAACAGAAAGUUCCUACUAAGUUCCACCGUCAAGUAUAACGGCCACAUUUUUUAACGCUCUCAUUCAACUUGAAUUGUCACACUUUUUUCUUUUUUUGGUUCAUACCACGCGCCGUAUUCUUCAACGACUAAAAUUUAAAAAAGAAGCAACCACUCUCUUUCUCUCUCCUUUCUUUCAUGUUUCUCAAAACUCCACAUAUAAACACCAUCCUCCCCUUCUCUUCAAUUCAACCUUUCAAUCCCUCAAAUAUUUCUAUAUCCAUUAUUUCAUCCUAUUUCUAAUCCUUCAAACUUUUCUUUUCCACAAUAAAAUUUAGGUGACCCGCAUCAUCAAUUUUUCUCACAUAUUAAUUAGUUAAAUUAAAAAAAAUAUUUUUAGAGAUUAGUCUCUAAUCUUCGCCCAAAUACGUGAAAUCAUCCAAAAUAUUGACUUAUUACUUUUGAAACAAUAUAACCAGAGUAUUUCAUUUGACGUAUACUUUGAGUUCAUAGGAAUUAGUCUCGAAAUAUCUUGAAACACUUACAUAAAAUGUCACGAACAAUAGAGAUAACAAUUUUGUCAGCAGAGAAUCUUCAAGAGAACAAAAAAGCCAUAAAAGGGAACACAUUCGUUACGGUUCAAUGUGACGGAAGCAACAGGGAAGUGAGCACCACGAAACUUGAUUCCGAAGGAGGAAGUUACCCUACAUGGAACGAGAAGUUGGUAAUGGAUGUGCCAUUACAUGCAAGGUUCCUAACAAUAGAGGUGAAGUACAAAACAAGAGGUAGUAGUAGCAAUAGUGUUGGAAUGGCUAGAAUACCUGUUUCCGAUUUUCUUGGAGGGUAUGUGCAUGAAAAUCAAUUGCAAUUUUUAAGUUAUAGGUUGUGGGAUAAUAGAGUUAGGAGAAAUGGGGUUGUAAAUAUUUCAGUAAAGGUAAAAAUGUCCCAACAAAAUUCUUGCUCGAGUUCG
rnacentral:lncRNA from 1 species